GUUGACACAAAGUAACCAGUAUGGAGGACAGGCAAGGGAAGAGCCAGGCUACCUUUCUCCUGCGUAUGGCUCGGAAGGGACAGCACGAUUCUGCUUCUGCAUGGCAGUCCCUGAUCUGGCUGGAAGGUGAGGGUGACUCAGCAGCUGGAAGCUAGCCAGCUCUUUUGCCCACAUAUCUGCAUUUGAUGCUGGCUGUUGCUGGGACCUUCGCUGGGACUGUCAGCUGUUGUUGCACUGUGUGCAACUUUUCUUGACUUCCCAGUCCUUCAUUGUUUUGAGAUGGCUGAAGGGGAAGGCGUUUUUGCCCACUGAACUUGUUGCUGAAACUCUAGCUUAUGAUGGCCACUGGAGAGGGAUGCCGUAUUGAACAGAAAGCGGACACGUGAAAUGAUGGAUGAUCUGUGAAAUGAAAGAAGAGCGUCGACUGUCCUUCUUCAGCUGCUUUUCAGUCACUCUGUGAUCUAUGGUGACUUAAGCUACCCUCUCUGAGCAAGGACUUCCUAGACGGGCUGUUCCAGCCUGCCAGGACAGCAAGACCACCGACAGGGAGAUGGGAGAAUUGUAAGAGCUCUGUUGCCUAGUGAAGUCUCUCUGGCAUCUGCCCUCUGGCCUGGGCCAGUGCCCACCAAGGAGGAGGCUAGGUUGGGGUACAGUCGGCCCACAAUCCAGAACAGGGGAGGGGCCUGUGUUUCGGGGUGGGGGCCCCAAGGCAGGAAUCCCCUGAAGCUCUGUGGAACAUCCGGUUUUGAACGACUCCAUUUAGAAGUAGAAGAAAGGCUCUCUGGGGAAAUAGGAAGGCUCUGGCAGGCUUCCCAGGAGAACAGCAAGUUCCAGCCAACUGGAGCUCCGGAAGCAGGGAACUUGUGGGGAAGGAUGGGGCAUAGAGCAAGCAGGCAUCUCAGCCACGGUUUCCCUGGCAAAGCUCUGCUCUGAAGGGAGCAUGUUUCUGAAGACCGGGAGGGUCUCAUCCUCCAGGUUGUUAUGCACAUAGGCAGCAUAUUUCCUGUGAACUCAAUCACAGCACAAAUAAUAAAAACCCAGAAACAGAUAUUGGGGUUAAAGCUGAAGAACAGAAAAACAAAUCAGUCAGCUACUAGAGAGUUCUCACCUCUACCAAUUCUCAGACUGAAGGAGCGAACGUGUCCUCUGAUAGCAUCUCCAAACUGCAUUGCUCCUUAGACUUCGGAUAAUUGGAUAUUGAAUUAUUUAUACUGCUGGAGUUUGGUUUUGCUUUGUUUGGACUGCACUAACUGUUUCCUCUUGAAGUAAGUAUUUAUUUUUGAUUUGAUAGGUGCAAACAAUUGAGAGACUUUGAAUUUUUAUUUAUUUUUGAGUCCAAUGCGUGUUAGUUUUAUUUGAUGAUGAACAAACAAUAUUAACACACCCAGCAACUCCAGUGACUUUUGCUCACACUACUGAGAAGCAAGACUUAGCCCCUCUCUCCAUGGCCAUGCCUCAGCACAGAAGCCCUGUUCUUUAGAGUUACAGGACAUCCACACCUGUGCAGCCACCUGACCUCACUGGACUGUCAGCACUUGACUGAAAUGGAAGCCUUGGGUUGUCUCAGUCGGGGCGGGGCGGGGGGGGGACUCUAAAAAUCAUCUCAGAAGAUGCCACCGUGCCUGGUUCUGGAUGGAGUCCUUGUCAAACCACGUAGAGACAACACUAGUCCUUGCCCCAGUGGAUUUGCUCUUGGCAGAGUACCUUACUUUUCAGAGUUGCGCUUCUUAAAUUAACAAUGCAUCAGAACACCAAACACCCGCAGAUGGAGCCUACUUUUGUGCAAACACAAACUGGGAUGCAAUUAUUAGAAUCACAAGUAUGGGCAGCGGAAAAUCACCCUAAACCUCUAUCCUAGCUCAGAACUCCCUGAGAAUGGGUAGAAAGGAAAGAAGAAGAAACAGCAUGCUUUGCACAACUUGAUAAUACUGUGGGGGGAUCCCCAGGACCACCAGUUUCUACGGCUUCCCUACUUCCCGGAGAGCUGCUCAUAUAGCUUGGGCACGUAGUCGUCCCACUCUGCCUGGUAACAGGUGCUGGCCACAAGGACUCCCAGGAAGUCCUUGGACUUCUUGGAAGGCUGCCACCUUGAACUUGCCGCGGUGAUCUCCAGACCUGUUGCUGAGGAUGGGUUCGUCACAGUUCAGUCGUUUGUCCUGCUUGUACACCAGUCAGAGGUAGCGGUGGAGGCCUGUGCCACUGGGAGGUCCAGAGCCCACGUAAUCUGAGAGAAACUUGCCACUGCUGAUGUCAUUGCCCUUCAUGUUGACCACCAGAAAAUGGUGCCAAUUCCUGGAUUUCCCUGGGUCAAGACCAUCCCAUGAAAUGCUGCUGGGCCUAUUCUUAACCUGGGUGGGCGUCAGCACUUUGCCCAGCUCGUCCACCUCCACGCCGCAUAGGCGACCCGUAGUGCAUGCUGGGGAUGCUGGUCCACCUCUUGCAGGCUCAGCGGCCUGGCAGGCAUGGCGACAAUAAGGGCAGGCACACACGCACUGAGUCCGAAUGCCAAGACUUUGAAUUUUAAAAGACUUUGGAUUUUAAGAGACUGACUUUUUAAAAGAUACUGAAUUUUUAAGUGUUUGAAUUUUUAAAGACUGGGGGACUUUUAAAAUUUGGAAUGUUUAUAUUGUAAGGUUGAUAUUAAUGUGUAAUCUUGGGGAAGAACAACAAAAGAAAGGUUAUGGCUUAACAGUUAUGUAUUUGUGUGUCAGGUUGACAAGGGAUCAAUUGUGCUGGCUAGUUUUAUGUCACCUUGACACAGCUAGAGUUAUCAAAAGGAGGGGAUCUCAAAUGAGAAAAUGUCUCUUUAAGUUUUGACUGUAGGGAUUUUGAUUGAUUAGUGAUUGAUGAGGGAUGGCCCAACCCAUUGUGGGUGGAACUAUCCCUGGGUUGGUAGUUCUUGGUUCUAUAUGAAUUCAUAGGCUGAGCCAGUAAUGAUGAGCAAGCCAGUGAGCAGCAACCUUCCAUGGGUUAUGCAUCAGCUCCUGCCUUCAGGUUUUCAUCUUGUUUGAGUUCCUGUCCUGACUUCCUUCAUUGAUGAACAGUGAUGUGGGAGUGUAAGCUGAAUAAACCCUUUUCUCCCC
rnacentral:lncRNA from 1 species